rnacentral:rRNA from 1 species
CGGACGGGUGAGUAACACAUGGGUGACCUACCCCCUGGUGAGGGAUACCGGCGAGAGAUCGCCGACAAACCCGCAUAGGCUCGCUCUGGUAGAGCGGAGCGAGCAAAGUCUGCUUUCGGGCAGGCGCGAGGGGAUGGGCCUGUGGCCGAUUAGCUGGUUGGUGGGGUAAGAGCCUACCAAGGCUGCGAUCGGUAGCUGGUCUGAGAGGACGAACAGCCACACUGGGAUUGAGAACGGCCCAGACUCCUACGGGGGGCAGCAGUGAGGAAUUUUCCGCAAUGGGCGAGGAGCCUGACGGAGCAACGCCGCGUGCAGGAGGACGCGUUUCGGCGUGUAAACUGCUUUUCUGUGGGACGAGGAAGGACGGUACCACAGGAAGAAGCCCCGGCUAACUACGUGCCAGCAGCCGCGGUAAUACGUAGGGGGCGAGCGUUGUCCGGAGUUACUGGGCGUAAAGGGCAUGCAGGCGGUCAGACGCGUGUGGUGUGACAGCGGUGGGCUCAACUCACCGAGCAUACGACAGACGGUGUGACUUGAGGGCUCGAGAGGGACACGGAAUUCCGGGUGGAGUGGUGAAAUGCGUAGAGAUCCGGAGGAACACCGAAGGCGAAGGCAGUGUCCUGGCGAGUAUCCUGACGCUGAGGUGCGAAAGCCAGGGGAGCGAACGGGAUUAGAUACCCCGGUAGUCCUGGCCGUAAACGAUGACCACCAGGUGUGGGAGGUAUCGACCCCUUCCGUGCCAAAGGGAACCCAUUAAGUGGUCCGCCUGGGGAGUACGGUCGCAAGAUUAAAACUCAAAGGAAUUGACGGG